rnacentral:rRNA from 1 species
AUUUCUUCGGAAUGAAACCAGAUAUGACUUAGUGGCGGACGGGUGAGUAACACGUGAGCAACCUGCCUUUCAGAGGGGGAUAACGGCUGGAAACGGUCGCUAAUACCGCAUGAUGUGUUCGGAUGGCAUCAUCUGAACAUCAAAGAUUUAUCGCUGAAAGAUGGGCUCGCGUCUGAUUAGAUAGUUGGUGGGGUAACGGCCUACCAAGUCUACGAUCAGUAGCCGGACUGAGAGGUUGAACGGCCACAUUGGGACUGAGAUACGGCCCAGACUCCUACGGGAGGCAGCAGUGGGGAAUAUUGCACAAUGGGGGAAACCCUGAUGCAGCAACGCCGCGUGAAGGAUGACGGUUUUCGGAUUGUAAACUUCUUUUCUUAGUGACGAAGACAGUGACGGUAGCUAAGGAAUAAGCAUCGGCUAACUACGUGCCAGCAGCCGCGGUAAUACGUAGGAUGCAAGCGUUAUCCGGAUUUACUGGGUGUAAAGGGAGCGCAGGCGGGACUGCAAGUUGGAUGUGAAAUACCGUGGCUUAACCACGGAACUGCAUCCAAAACUGUAGUUCUUGAGUGAAGUAGAGGCAAGCGGAAUUCCGAGUGUAGCGGUGAAAUGCGUAGAUAUUCGGAGGAACACCAGUGGCGAAGGCGGCUUGCUGGGCUUUAACUGACGCUGAGGCUCGAAAGCGUGGGGAGCAAACAGGAUUAGAUACCCUGGUAGUCCACACUGUAAACGAUGAUAGCUAGGUGUGGGGGGUCUGACCCCUUCCGUGCCGGAGUUAACGCAAUAAGCUAUCCACCUGGGGAGUACGACCGCAAG